UACUACAAUAGGCGUCCUUGCGCCAGGUGUCUUUGCGCAAUGCCUCUCUGUUCCCCCCUAAAGGCAAUAUAGGGUGCUGUAUACCGACCCCCCACCCUAUCUCCUGAAACCAAGAUAAGCAUUCUGCAUGCUGAUCUAACAGCCCAGAUGAGUAUCCUGGCUUCUUUUUAUGAGCCCAAGUUAUUUAUGGCAAAAUUAGGUUUUACAGGGGAUCGGUAAAUAAUGUGUUCGUGCAGUAUAGUAACAUUCGGGGUGAACCAUGGACGAUUGAUCUGAAUUUCAGGAUGAUCAGUCCACACGCGAUCGGAAUUAAUCCACAAUUACAACUUCCCAGAAUAUUAUAGUAAAGGAUUAAUUCCAUAUCACGUGGGUGACGUAAUCGUCCGCGAAUUCAUCCUAAUACAAUCUGUGAUGUAUAAUCAGCUUUCUGCCCAGUAAACAGCAAAAUGGAAGCAGAUGCUUCAUUCUUCAAAACGUUUGUGCCAGAAGAAAUUCUAUUUGUUCUACCCAAUAUCUACCAAACAAUACCAGCUAGGUGUUUCAGCUGUUUGUAGUGAUGAAGACUGGUUAUCUUUAAGACUGAUACCAUCUUUGAUGCAUGUGUUCCCAUGAGAUCCAGGAGAAGCUUCAGGAAGUACCAAUCUGGGGGACUGAGCAGCUGGCCAAACUCACAUCUGAAACGUCUUCCAAAAACUCUAGAUAUUUUAAUCCAUUUUAUAUGACCCAAUUCCUAUGGUAAAGCAAUAUGGCAGUACAAUGUAUAUUGUGUUCAGAUGGCAGUGUAAAAAAACACAUUUAAGCAGAACUAUAUCACUUCACUCUAUAAAUGUGAUGCGGUGUAUCUUUCUAUUUCUACAGAACUAUAUAUAAGCUUCUCGGAAACCCAGUUCACCAAUGACCAACAUGCCUGAUCGUGCUUGAGAACCAAUCAACUGCAUAUAAACAUGCCUUCUUUGACAUAAACCCAGAUGGGUAAAGAGAAACUAAAACGUCCUUGAACAAUAAACUUUGCGGCAGUACAUUACAGUUUAUCUCAAAGUACAUCUUGUGUAGUACCAAGAAUGGCUGACCAGCAAUGGCUUUCCAAACUAAAAGACGAGCUUGGAAAAAGUCCUAUGACUUUAAACACUGUCAUAGGUUUCGUCCUCUUGGGGCUGGAGAAGAUGACAGAACUGGAAUUUCAGUGUCCGUGCAAUCCUUAUAGGAAUGCAUUGUUUUCCUCAGCAUUCUUUGUCAUUCCAGCAAUAAUGUCUAUUAUUGUGAUGCUGAUCGCAAAUAAAUUCAGAUGUGCAUCGGGAAAGUGUUGGGAAAAGUGUGGCAAGCUGAUAUCCUGCUUUAUGCCAGGAAUGGUGUGGCUGACCCUGCUGUGCUUUGAUGGCAAAUACUACACCUGUGCAGCUACAAGCUGGGAAGGAGAAUAUGUCAACAUGGACAGUGAUGGCUCUCUGAAAUGGUGUCAACCUAUGCAAGUGAAUGAAACUGAAAUGAAGCGACGGAGGCUUCAUUUUGAAGAUUCCAUGUUUUGGUCUCAGGUUGCGGGGUUUAUACUGCUCGGUUUCAUCUGUCUGGGACUUGGAUUCUACUCAUGUUACGAAUGCUGCAAAAAAGGAGAAAGCUUCGAUCCCCGCCUACAAAUGAAAGAAUUCUGAAACUUGGAAGCCCAGAGUUCUGGUCAACAAUGAUCCUCAGAGAUGUCAUCAUCAUGUAAUAAAUGCAUGGUAUUUUUAUUAAAUAUAUCCUUCCAUUGUUCAUCACUCUUUGUUCAUUCAACUAAGAAAAAUAAAAACAAUGUGGCUGCAGACUAA